rnacentral:rRNA from 1 species
UGGGGAAUUUUGGACAAUGGGCGAAAGCCUGAUCCAGCAAUGCCGCGUGUGUGAAGAAGGCCUUCGGGUUGUAAAGCACUUUUGUCCGGAAAGAAAUCCUUGGCUCUAAUACAGUCGGGGGAUGACGGUACCGGAAGAAUAAGCACCGGCUAACUACGUGCCAGCAGCCGCGGUAAUACGUAGGGUGCAAGCGUUAAUCGGAAUUACUGGGCGUAAAGCGUGCGCAGGCGGUUUGCUAAGACCGAUGUGAAAUCCCCGGGCUCAACCUGGGAACUGCAUUGGUGACUGGCAGGCUAGAGUAUGGCAGAGGGGGGUAGAAUUCCACGUGUAGCAGUGAAAUGCGUAGAGAUGUGGAGGAAUACCGAUGGCGAAGGCAGCCCCCUGGGCAAUACUGACGCUCAUGCACGAAAGCGUGGGGAGCAAACAGGAUUAGAUACCCCCGGUAGUCCACGCCCUAAACGAUGUCAACUAGUUGUUGGGGAUUCAUUUCCUUAGUAACGUAGCUAACGCGUGAAGUUGACCGCCUGGGGAGUACGGUCGCAAGAUUAAAACUUAAAUGAAUUGACGGGGUCAUAGCUGUUUCCU